CGGGUGAGUAACGCGUGGGUAACCUGCCUCAUACAGGGGGAUAACAGUUAGAAAUGACUGCUAAUACCGCAUAAGCGCACAGUGCUGCAUGGCACAGUGUGAAAAACUCCGGUGGUAUGAGAUGGACCCGCGUCUGAUUAGCUAGUUGGUGGGGUAACGGCCUACCAAGGCGACGACCAGUAGCCGGCCUGAGAGGGUGAACGGCCACAUUGGGACUGAGACACGGCCCAA
rnacentral:rRNA from 1 species